ACAAGCGGUGGAGUAUGUUGGUUUAAUUCGAUGCAACGCGAAGAACCUUACCUGGUCUUGACAUCCCGGAGACCCUUAGGAAACUAGGGGUGCUUCCAUCUGGAAGAAUCUGGAGACAGGUGCUGCAUGGCUGUCGUCAGCUCGUGUCGUGAGAUGUUGGGUUAAGUCCCGCAACGAGCGCAACCCUUGCCUUUAGUUGCCAGCAGUUCGGCUGGGCACUCUAAAGGGACUGCCGGUGUUAAACCGGAGGAAGGUGGGGAUGACGUCAAGUCCUCAUGGCCUUUAUGACCAGGGCUACACACGUACUACAAUGGCCGAUACAAAGGGCAGCGACACUGCGAGGUGAAGCCAAUCCCGUAAAAUCGGUCUCAGUCCGGAUUGGAGUCUGCAACUCGACUCCAUGAAGUUGGAAUCGCUAGUAAUCGUGGAUCAGCAUGCCACGGUGAAUACGUUCCCGGGCCUU
rnacentral:rRNA from 1 species